rnacentral:tRNA from 1 species
ACUUAUGUAGUAUAAAAAUACAUUGAUAUUAAAAAUCAAAAAUGAAAUAAUUUUCCUUAAGUA